GUACAUGCCUACAACAUAGCGUUAAUGCAUCGAAUCCCAUUAGAACUUCACAAUUAAGCAUGCUCGGGCUAGAUUAAACUAGGAUGGGUGACCGCCCGAGAAGUCCUAGUGGCUUACAUG
rnacentral:rRNA from 1 species